CAGCAGCCGCGGGAAUACGUAGGUGGCAAGCGUUGUCCGGAAUUAUUGGGCGUAAAGGGCUCGCAGGCGGUUUCUUAAGUCUGAUGUGAAAGCCCCCGGCUCAACCGGGGAGGGUCAUUGGAAACUGGGAAACUUGAGUGCAGAAGAGGAGAGUGGAAUUCCACGUGUAGCGGUGAAAUGCGUAGAGAUGUGGAGGAACACCAGUGGCGAAGGCGACUCUCUGGUCUGUAACUGACGCUGAGGAGCGAAAGCGAGGGGAGCGAACAGGAUUAGAUACCCCAGUAGUCCCUGUCUCUUAUAC
rnacentral:rRNA from 1 species